AUGCACGCUGGCGGCGUGCCUAAUACAUGCAAGUCGAGCGAACGGACGAGAAGCUUGCUUCUCUGAUGUUAGCGGCGGACGGGUGAGUAACACGUGGAUAACCUACCUAUAAGACUGGGAUAACUUCGGGAAACCGUAGCUAAUACCGGAUAAUAUUUUGAACCGCCUGGUUCAAAAGUGAAAGACGGUCUUGCUGUCACUUAUAGAUGGAUCCGCGCUGCAUUAGCUAGUUGGUAAGGUAACGGCUUACCAAGGCAACGAUGCAUAGCCGACCUGAGAGGGUGAUCGGCCACACUGGAACUGAGACACGGUCCAGACUCCUACGGGAGGCAGCAGUAGGGAAUCUUCCGCAAUGGGCGAAGGCCUGACGGAGCAACGCCGCGUGAGUGAUGAAGGUCUUCGGAUCGUAAAACUCUGUUAUUAGGGAAGAACAUAUGUGUAAGUAACUGUGCACAUCUUGACGGUACCUAAUCAGAAAGCCACGGCUAACUACGUG
rnacentral:rRNA from 1 species